AUUCUAUUAUGUAGAAUGACCGAAAAUCGAUGAAAUAGUUUUUGGAGCGAUUACUCUAUGGAGCUGUAUGAAACAGCACGUGUAUCAAUCACCCGUGCAGGACGAAUGAUUUAUUUGCCGAACCGUGCGUGAUCGCUGCAAAUGAAAUACGCUAAAUUCUUUGGACUACGCACCGGCCAUAGUACAAAACCCGAAUGUCUAUCCAAACCAAAAAUAGGAAAAUACUCUUGUAAAAAUACACGUAUUGGUCAAUAAUAAUGCUAUUCUACACUAACCUACGACACUGACACAUUGACCUAUGGAAAAUGCCUUGACCAAAAUUUAUAAUGAAUAUUUGUCGAAUGAAUAGCGUAAAAAUAUAGUUUGUUUGUCACCAUUCGCCUUCAAAAUGAACUUAUAGGUGUUUUCAUGUUCAUCGUAGAACUGAGAAUGUCAAUGUCACUGAUCAAUUGAUUAAUGGAGGGAUGUUAUAGGUAAUAUAAUUAAAUAUUUUGGAUACCGUUUUUGUAAAUGAUUAUAAAAUGAGAAUAUUGUGUUUAUAAAAAAUGCCAACGACUCAAUAGUUUCAAUGACACUAACGAAUAUCUAAUCCCUAAAACAAAACUUCUAAUGAUAAUUAAUUACAAAUACAAAUUAAUAAACUGUUGUGUUUCUCGAUUUAAAAAAUAUUCUGAUGAAAUUUUUUCGAAGAGGACACGAUAAAAAGCUAAUUAUUAUUUGCCUUUCACGCUGAUAAUACGGACCAAGCAGACGAUUUUGUUAUUAUACAAUGUGUAGAUACAUAAUUGAUUACUUAUUAAAAAGUCAGAGGUCGAAACAGAGAAGUAAUUGUAACAUAAUCAAAAAUAAAAUGUCAUUGACAAAACAUUUUAAUUUUUAUUUAAGAAUUUUGCGAUUGUAACUUGCUUCUGACUGAUUAUUUGUUUCACCUUUGCCCCUUCAGACAGUACAGUGUGUGUUUCGGGAAUGACUUGCCAAAAAAGUUCUUUUUAUUUCAACUGGAUGAUAACGAAAUAAUAAAAAAUAAUUUGGAUACAGUAGUGCAUUAUGCAACAAGGGAAGAAGGCACGAUAUUCCAUCCCAGGUAUGAUUUGCCAUCCCAGUAUAGCCGAGGGCGGCAAAUUACCGGGAGGGAUACCGUACUUUCAUUAUGGGGGGCCCAUUUACGAUUUUUAAUGCAUCCCUGCCCGAAUGUACGAUUUCUUAGAGAUGAGAAACUGAAACAUAACCUCACAAAGAAAACACAUCGGCUUUGUAACGAAUAACGAAGUAAGAAGAUCCUGGCUGCUCCUCUACAUUUGUCGUAACGCCAUCUAUGAGUAUGAGGUUACGUUUAAAUUUUUAUUGACUAAUAAAACAGACAUACAUAUACGUACGUACCUCUUAUAAGCAAACAAAAUACAUUCUAUACUUA